GACGAACGCUGGCGGCGUGCCUAAUACAUGCAAGUUGAGCGCUUAAGGUUGGUACUUGUACCGACUGGAUGAGCAGCGAACGGGUGAGUAACGCGUGGGGAAUCUGCCUUUGAGCGGGGGACAACAUUUGGAAACGAAUGCUAAUACCGCAUAAAAACUUUAAACACAAGUUUUAAGUUUGAAAGAUGCAAUUGCAUCACUCAAAGAUGAUCCCGCGUUGUAUUAGCUAGUUGGUGAGGUAAAGGCUCACCAAGGCGAUGAUACAUAGCCGACCUGAGAGGGUGAUCCGCCACAUUGGGACUGAGACACGGCCCAAACUCCUACGGGAGGCAGCAGGAGGGAAUCUUCGGCAAUGGAGGAAAGGCUGACCGAGCAACGCCGCGUGAGUGGAGAAGGGUUUCGGAUCGUAAAACUAUGUUGGUAGAGAAGAACGGUGGUGAGAGUGGAAAGCUCAUCAAGUGACGGUAACUACCCAGAAAGGGACGGCUAACUACGUG
rnacentral:rRNA from 1 species